GACGUUGAUAGGUCGGAGGUGUAAGCACAGCAAUGUGUUGAGCUGACCGAUACUAAUCCGCCGAGGGCUUGACCUG
rnacentral:rRNA from 1 species